GAUGAACGCUGGCGGCGUGCUUAACACAUGCCAGUCGAACGAUGAACCUCACUUGUGGGGGGAUUAGUGGCGAACGGGUGAGUAACACGUGAGUAACCUGCCCUUGACUCUGGGAUAAGCCUGGGAAACCGGGUCUAAUACUGGAUACGACCUUCUGGCGCAUGCCAUGUUGGUGGAAAGCUUUUGUGGUUUUGGAUGGACUCGCGGCCUAUCAGCUUGUUGGUGGGGUAAUGGCCUACCAAGGCGACGACGGGUAGCCGGCCUGAGAGGGUGACCGGCCACACUGGGACUGAGACACGGCCCAGACUCCUACGGGAGGCAGCAGUGGGGAAUAUUGCACAAUGGGCGCAAGCCUGAUGCAGCGACGCCGCGUGAGGGAUGAAGGCCUUCGGGUUGUAAACCUCUUUCAGUAGGGAAGAAGCCGGCUUUUGGGUUGGUGACGGUACCUGCAGAAGAAGCGCCGGCUAACUACGUG
rnacentral:rRNA from 1 species